rnacentral:rRNA from 1 species
UCUACGGGAGGCAGCAGUGAGGAAUAUUGGUCAAUGGACGCAAGUCUAAACCAGCCAUGCCGCGUGCAGGAAGACGGCCCUAUGAGUUGUAAACUGCUUUUGUACGAGGGUAAACGCAGAUACGUGUAUCUGUCUGCAAGUAUCGUACGAAUAAGCAUCGGCUAACUCCGUGCCAGCAGCCGCGGUAAUACGGAGGAUUCAAGCGUUAUCCGGAUUUAUUGGGUUUAAAGGGUGCGUAGGCGGUCGGAUAAGUUAGAGGUUAAAUCCCGAGGCUCAACUUCGGAAUUGCCUCUGAAACGGUUCGGCGAGAGAGUAGUUGCGGUAGGCGGAAUGUAUGGUGUAGCGGUGAAAUGCUUAGAGAUCAUACAGAACACCGAUUGCGAAGGCAGCUUACCAGGCUGCUUCUGACGUUGAAGCACGAGAGCGUGGGGAGCAAACAGGAUUAGAUACCCUAGUAGUC